rnacentral:rRNA from 1 species
AUUGAACGCUGGCGGCAGGCCUAACACAUGCAAGUCGAACGAGUGGCGGACGGGUGAGUAAUGUCUGGGACCCUGCCCGAUGGAGGGGGAUAACUACUGGAACCGGUAGCUAAUACCGCAAAGCCUCGGAUGUGCCCAGAUGGGAUUAGCUAGUAGGUGGGGUAACGGCUCACCUAGGCGACGAUCCCUAGCUGGUCUGAGAGGAUGACCAGCCACACUGGAACUGAGACACGGUCCAGACUCCUACGGGAGGCAGCAGUGGGGAAUGUUGCACAAUGGGCGCAAGCCUGAUGCAGCCAUGCCGCGUGUAUGAAGAAGGCCUUCGGGUUGUAAAGUACUUUCAGCGAGGAGGCGUUACUCGCAGAAGAAGCACCGGCUAACUCCGUGCCAGCAGCCGCGGUAAUUC